UAGAGUCUAGACCCAGAAAGCCAGGG
rnacentral:piRNA from 1 species